UGGGCCUCCGUGGCGCUCGGUGCUGGUCUUCGCCUCCCGCCUGCCUGGCCCCUGGAAACCGACCCUACGCGCAAGCGCUGUGAGAGACAACUCCGACCCGCCCCUCUUGCGGGGGCUCUACGGUGACAAUUGGUCUCCAGCCCGCGGCUAGAGUGCUGGGCGCGUCAGCCGCUGAGUACACCUUUCCCCGGCCUGUGAAGGGUUCUUCGCCGCAGCGCGGAGUUCCUUUGCCGGAUUGGGGGCCUGGGGGGCGUUUGAGUCGUUCACCAGGGACCUUGAGGGCUGAGGUGCGGCUUCUCAGCGGACUUUGGCUCUCGGUCCCCUCGCCGUCCACGCCGGCACCUGGACGCCUGCCCAGCUGCACGCGCGCCCUCGGAGGCCCCUCUUAGGAACGCUUUUCCUGGGCAGAUAAGCACUCUUCCGGCCAGCGGCGCAUUUCGACUCUCCCGCGGAAUCUGGACUAAAGCCGGCCGGACUAUAGAUAAACAGCUCUGUGGUGAGGGGCAGCUUCUGGAUCAGAGAUCUGCAAUAGUCGCACCGAAAAACUGAAUUAACUCUGAUUUUUCGACUCUUAGCCAGUAUCUCGGCGAGGAAAUUCCCAGACUCAGUGGUGGAAUAAGCUUGGCCAUCUCGUAGAAUUCCAGGAAACAGUUCCCUCAGCAGACAACUGCUCCCUCUCAUGAGUGCAAGUAGUGGAGUGGAGGUGGCAGUAUGCCCAGCAAAAGCAGUGCAUCUCUCAAGCUUCCCACAUGGUGUCCAUGUGACCAAAUUUUGGCUAAUGAGACUCUUAGUUCCCCGACCAGGGAUUGAACCCGUGCCCCCUGAAGUGGAAGUGUGGAAUCCUAACCACUGGAUCUCCAGGGAAUUCCCUCUAAAAGUGAUAUUUUCUAAUUGUUGUCGCUGGAACUAUGGUAUAAUACUGAACAGAAACUUAAGCAAAAGGCCCAAAACAUAAACAAAAAAAGAUUGAUACAUUUUAUUUUGUUAAAAUUAAGAGAUUUUGUUCAGCAGAAGACACUAUAAAGAAAAUGAAAAGAGAAGCCACAUUCUGGAAGAAGAUAUCUACUAUAGUUAUUACCAGGGACACCUAAAAACCAAUAAGUAAACAACAAUAGUCAAAUGGAAAAAAAUAGGUAAAAUACAUUACAGAUAUUAUACUGAAGAAGAUUCAUGAUUGGCCAGUAAAAUAUGACAUUAUAUUCAAUUGUAUUAAUAAUUAGAAAAUGAAAAUUUAGGGCACACAAGGAUUUUUUUUUUCUUUUUUUUUUUUUGUGGUACGCGGGCCUCUCACUGUUGUGGCCUCUCCUGUUGCAGAGCACAGGCUCCGGACGCGCAGGCUCAGUGGCCACGGCUCACGGGCCCAGCCACUCUGCGGCAUGUGGGAUCUUCCCGGACCGGGGCACGAACCCGUGUCCCCUGCAUCGGCAGGCGGAUUCUCAACCACUGCGCCACCAGGGAAGCCCAAACACAAGGCAUUUUUAAACUCACUGGCAAAAUUUUAAAAUUGUACAAUACCAAUUUAGAGUAUGAGCAAUUGGAGCUCUCAAACACUUGAUAAUAGUGGCAGUGAAAAUUGAUAAAAUCACAUUGGAAACAAAGUAAAGAUGAAGAUUAGCAAAUUCCAUGACUCUGCAAUUCCACUCCUGAACAUAUAACCUAGCCUGCAGGACCUAGAGAAAUCUCUGUAAGUGCCUCAGGAGAUAGGUGCAAGAAUAUUCAGAGAAAAAAUAUUUAUAAUAGCACAACGACAACAAGGAGAAACUAGAAACCGCUCAAAUAUCAAUCAAGAGAAUGGAUAAAUUGUGGCAUAUUCUCAUAGAGAAAUACUGCACAGCAUUGAAAAUUAAUGAACUACAUGGAAUUGAUCACAGAAUCAUAAUAUUGAGUGAAAAAACAAAUGGCAGAAGAAUAUUAAAAUAUUCAACCAUUUAUAUAAAGUUCUUAUGGUUUAGGAAUUUGCACAAAUGUCUUAAAACUAUAAGGAAAGCAAGGAUAUAGGAUUACCACUCUUUACACUGGGGUGGGAGAGAUUAGAAAUGGAAUUAGAAAAGGACAUAAAAGGACCUUCAAUUUUGCCUUUGAAAUCAAUUUCUCAAGUUCUCCUUGGUGGUCAUUUUAUUAUUAUGCUUAAUAAUUUAUGUAUUAAAUUAUUUUGAAAAAAAUUUAGACAUUCAGAAAAAUUGUAAAAUUUCUACAGAGCAUUCCUGAAUGCCCUCCGUCCAGCUUCCCCUAAUGUUAAUCUCUUGUAUAACCAAAAUACAAUUAUCAGAACUAAGAAAUUAAAUCGCUCAAUACUAUUAAAUAAACUACAGACUUUAUUUGUGUGGUAGGCAGAAUUCUAGAGGUUUUUCCCACCAACAAUAUUCCCAUUUCCUGGUUUUGUAAACACUAAUUGUGGGUACUGCUUGGAAGGGAUUUUGCAGAUGUAAUUAAAGUUCCACAUUAGCUGACUUUAGAAAACGGAGAUUACCUGACUCAGAUAACAGCCCUUAAAAGCAGAAGCUUUCUCUGGCUGAUGGCAGAAGAGGAAGGCAGAAGGAGAAGUCAGAGAGAUUCAAAAUAUGAGAAGGACUAGCCUCACCAGUGCUGCUUUGAAAAUGGAGGGGGCCACCUAAGAAGGAACACAGACAGCCUCAAGAAUCCCUGGCUGACAGCCAGCAAGGAAACAGGGAUCUUGGAUCUACAUUCAUGAGGAACUGGAUUCUUACAACGACAUAAAAGAGCUUGGAAGCUGACUCUUCCCAGACAGUCCAGAUAAAAGCCUCAGCUGGCCAAUUCCUUAACUUGGGCAUUGUGAGACUAAGGAGAGACCCAGUCAAGCCCAUGUGGACUUCUGAUCUACAGAACUUUGAGAUAACAAAUGUGUAUUCUUUUAAGCUUCUAAAUUUGCACAUGGUAAUUUGUUACACAACAACAGAAAACAAAUAUCAUUUGUAUUUUGUCCAUUUAUCCACUAAUCUCCCUUUUCUGUUGCAGGAUCUCACAUUGCAUUUAGUUGUCAGUGUCUCAUUAGUAACCUCCAAUCUGUAACAUUUCAUCAGUCUUUGUCUUUCAUGAUACAGACAAUCUUGAAGAGUGCAACAAAGAAAAAAUAUUUUGUUGAAUUUCAAGUUUGUCUAGUGUUUUCUUGGGAUUAGAUUGAGUUAUGUAUUUCUGGCCAAAAUACCAUAGGAGCAAUGUAACCUUGUCAGUGCAGUCUAUCAGGAGUUCAUGUCAACAUGUCAUAUUACUGUUAAUUUUAACCUUGAUUGCUUAGCUAAGAUGGUAUCUGCUGGGUUUCUUUAUUGCAAAAUUACUAUUUUUCUCUUUAUAAUUAACAAAUAUCUCAGGGGAGAUACUUUUAGACUAUGCCAUCCUAUCCUUAAAAUUUUGCUCACUAAUUUUAGCAUCCAUUGGUGGAUCUUGUCUGCAGCAAUUAUUCUAACGAUGGUUUUCUAUUUCCCAUAUUCUGUCUAUGCGUGUUAAUUAGAAUUCAUCUGUAAGGAAGAGCUAUCCCUUUUCCUUCACUUAUUUGUUUCUUCAACUAUUUAUUUGUAUCAGUAUUGGCUCAUGGUUAUUUUACUUUAUGGGUUAUACAAUACUAUUGUUACUUAUUUUGUUGCUCAAACUAUUUCCCUUUUGGUCACUGGGAGAUCUUUCAGUAGACUCCUGUGCCCUUUUGGCAUGUCCCUAUCAUUUUAUAAGUACUUCUUUACUUUUUAGCGCCUCAAGAUACUCUAGGCUCAUUUAGUAUUUUUGCUUCUGCAGCCCUGGAAACAAUGACUUCUCUGAGGAGUCCUGGUUCUUUUUACUGGGGAACAGUAUUUAAAAACUAAAAUGUGGGCAUAAGUUAAUGACGUGUCAUUGUUUGGCCUUCUCAGCAGGUAAAGCUUGGAAAUAUAAGUAUAUAUACCUACCCAUGCCUACACACACAUAUCUAUAUUUAAUUCUGCUAUAUUGUAUGUUAUAGAAUAGAACCAGUCCUCUGUAAGGAGGAUCUUCUUAUCUUAAUAAGAGUGGAGGGAAAGGUGCCCAACCAAAUGUGGGUACUCAGCAGAAUAUUCAAAGUAUUUUGUGAAAAGGUGUUGAGAGAAGGCAUACCUUACUUGCCAGUAGUCUACUGAUCUGAACCCUGACAUAGUCACUCCCCCUCCACUAUACCCACCAAGUAGUUGAAAGGUGAAAUGAGAAUAUAAACCACUGAUAUCUAGCCCUCUAGCUGAAUCAAAAGCAAAAAAAAAAAAAAAUUCAAUAAUUCACAGGUAAGUGGAGAGAUUUAUGAUCUCUCAAUGACUCACACUAUUCUUUAGUAAAUUUAAGAUCAGAAUAGAACUACCAUCACUCAAAAAUAAGGUACCCUUCCCUGCCCUACACAGACAAGGAAAAACAAUUCUAGCAGAA